GAUUUAAGUCAGAAAAGUUGAAAGAAUUUUUGCCCAAUGUAUUCUCGUUAGGGUGACGGUGCAUAUGUAUAAAAGGGGAAUCCUUUUCGAUUUUUCUAAUGUUUGUAUAUUUUCUACUUGGUACUUGUCUUGUAACAGAUGGAAUAUCUUCUUCAUAAUCAAAAAUACUACUUUCACAGGAAGAUACUGGGAGGAUCUCUUUCUUACUAUUCUCUUUAUGAGAAUUUUCUGAAUGAACAGUACUGCUUAAAGAUCCAGGGUAUUUCAUAGAAUAAGUGCUUUCGUUUGUAAAAGAAGUGACUGAGUUAUCUAGACCUUUUUCUG
rnacentral:lncRNA from 1 species